rnacentral:rRNA from 1 species
AAUGAACGCUGGCGGUAUGCUUAACACAUGCAAGUCGAACGAACAAAAAAACUAAAGCUUGCUUUAGUUUUUUUGUUAGUGGCAAACGGGUGAGUAACGCGUGGGAAUCUACCCAUCAGUACGGAAUAACAUUUGGAAACAAAUGCUAAUACCGUAUAUUCUCUAAAAGAGGAAAGAUUUAUCGCUGAUGGAUGAGCCCGCGUAAGAUUAGGUAGUUGGUAGGGUAAUGGCCUACCAAGCCAACGAUCUUUAGCUGGUCUGAGAGGAUGAUCAGCCACACUGGGACUGAGACACGGCCCAGACUCCUACGGGAGGCAGCAGUGGGGAAUAUUGGACAAUGGGCGAAAGCCUGAUCCAGCAAUACCGCGUGAAUGAUGAAGGCCUUAGGGUUGUAAAGUUCUUUUAAUAGGGAAGAUAAUGACGAUACCUAUAGAAAAAGCCCCGGCUAACUCCGUGCCAGCAGCCGCAGUAA